UACACACACACACACACAC
rnacentral:ncRNA from 2 species